rnacentral:lncRNA from 1 species
ACAAGCUGACUCCUGGGGAGAAGCAACAGAAAGUUCCACUGGGGAAGUAACAAAGAAAUGAGAUGUUACCGGGCAUACGGGUAACAAACUCAGGAAAAAUCUGACUCCACAGGGGGACCGAGGUCAUAAUAGGGAGUAGAAAGGAGGGAACACCAAGGAUACCAGUUACUGGGUAUAAAAUAGGUGACCGACCAAAGCGUGAAUUGGAUUUCACUUCCAAGACACUCAUCAUCCUGAAGA